UUAGCCAUUAAUUUGCAGCAUUUGAUUAAUUAAAUGAGUACCCAAAUAAUCUGAUAACUAUUAUGAACAAUUAAUAUCUCAAAAUAUUAGAUUAAAACUCUAGCCCAAAUCCCACACUAGACCAUGGAGCAUCUAAUAGAAUUACAAAGGCCGCAUAUGAAUAAAUGAUAAAAGACUCUUUGGGCAUCCUCCACGAACAAUGCGGCGGCUCACCUCAAUAACUAAAUCAAUUCUAGAGAACUCGUCGGCUACUAGCUUCGUCUUCACCAAUAGUAUCUGCAUGGACAGGGAGGUAAGGAGUGAGUUAUACGUAAAUAUAACCCAGUAAGAUCAUCGACCCGCCAGUCUGAAUACCUCUGGAACAAGUGUUAGAAAAUAUACACACAAUGAGCACACAAAUAAUACGCACAGAAAUUCUUUUAUCAUAUAAUUACUCUAUAAGGUCCAAAUAAUUAUUCAACAACAAUACUACAUAUAUCUCAACACAAUCUACACUAAGGACUUGUCAUUAACGGCAAUGUAGGAAAUUAACCAAACACCCCAACGAGUCCACGGUAGCAUACACAAUGCCCCAAAUCUAUCACGACGGCAUAUACAAUGUCCCAAAUAUAUAGCGGCAGCAUACACAAUGCCCCAAAUAUAUAGCGGCGGCACAUAAAAUGCCGCAAAUCUAUAGCGGCGGCAUACACAAUGCCCCAAAUCUGUCACGGCGGCAUACACAAUGCCCCAAAUAUAUUACGUCAGCGAAGAAAUAAUUUAUAACGCUCCAACGCCAUAGCACAAGGCUACACCCCAUCACACCUACACUACAAAUCACUUAUUAAAUAAUUUUAGCCUUUUACAAAAUAAUAUAUUUCUGCGGCUGGUCAAAGACCACCGAUUCUGUCAAGCACACGCUCGUUCCAACACAUUGACCAGGCAGAAAUAAAAUAUACUUCCAAAAUAGAUAUUAGAAAAGCAAGCAUCAAAACUUAAAGUCUCACUUACCUCACUAACGGGAAGUUCCCCAAUUUUGCAAUGCCUAGAACACCAACCAAACGACCUCAAAUGGCCUCAAUCUAUUCAAAAUAUUGAAUAACACGUCCUAAUUAGUCUAGGUGAAUAAUUUUCAUAAUCUUAGGACAAGUCAAAAUCAAAGUGAACCCCCGAUCCAAUUACUAAAAAUCUGAACAAAUUAGCAAACGCAGAACAUGAAUGUCGCAGCAAUGCAACUGUAGAAUACGUUACAAUGCCUUAAUUUACCCAAUCUUAUUAGGGCAUCUCCAACCUUUACCCCAUUUUUGGUCCCCAAAAUGGGGAUUUCCCCAUUUUGGGGACAACUUACUCCAACCAUUCCCCCAUCUUUUUCCCCAAACUUUUUUAUAUUCUUCUAAUUCUUCUAUGUUAUAUUAUUUUCUUUCAUUUCAAUUUCAUUUUUUAAUUUCUAUUAAACAAAUUCCAUCUUUUAUUUUUAUUAAUUUGUAAUUUCCAUAAUUAAAACAAUUCCAUAAAAUUUUAAAUAAUAUAAUUUGUAAGCAAUAUUAUAGAUUAACUAAUAACUCAAAUAAAAGUGAAAUCAUUGCAAUAAAAGAUUAAUUAAAUACAUAUUACAUAACGAUAAAAUUCAUUCGAAUUACCUGAUAAAUAUUCAACUUCAACCUCUAGUAUUCUCCCAUAAAUGAUCUAUUAAUGCAUUACGAAGUGCAAAUUGAGCAUCUUUGUCCUUAAUUCUUCUAUGUCGUAAUAAAAAUUCUUGAAAUCGUUGAUUUUCAUCUACUGCCAUUUCUACAUAAAAAUAAAUGCACGAAAAUUAAUUUAUCAAAAUUAUACACCAAAGUUAAGAUAUAAUAUUAAUAUUAUAAAGACAUUACAUAAACAUAAUUAGAUAUAUAUAUAAAGAGAUAAAUUAAAAGAUUAAAUAAUAAAAUAAUAAUAAUAAAAAAGUGAUGAAUAGUAAUCGGGGAGAUGAAUAGUGUACCCCCUUAUUUGAGGGAAUAUUAUUCAUCCCCAUUUUGGGGACAAAAAUGGGGAGGGUUGGAGCUAAUUUUCCUCAAAUAUUUCCCUCAUUACGAGGAUGGGGCAAGGUGGGAGAUAGCUUUAUAAACCAUUCUAAUCAUUGAAUCAUCACUACUUUAUCUAUAAAUUAUGGGCUAAUCAUUAAUUAAUCACUGAAAGUCCAAUUUGGUGCCGUAAAAAUCUAGACUUUGUAGUAGUAGAAGUCAGUAAUUCUUUUCCCCAAAAACUAUACAACGAAACAUAUCCUUAAUCCCUUAAUUAUUACUUAUAUUCAAAAUCCUUACCAAAAUCACUACACAUACCUGAAGCCUGCAAGUUUAUUCCCUUCCUUGGCUUCGUCAAUAGUGACGCCACAAUUUGAGCUCGUUUACGCUGCCGCGUCAGUUUUCUUCUAAAGUCCUCCAUUUUUUUCUUUUCUUUUUU
rnacentral:lncRNA from 1 species